rnacentral:tRNA from 1 species
GGGCACGUGGCAGAAGGUGAUGCCCGCGCUGUGCACGCGGCGGCGUUCGGCGCGGAUGUUCUUGCGCUUCUUCUGCUCC